rnacentral:tRNA from 1 species
GAGGGUACAGCUCAGCGAUAGAGUGUGUGCUUAGCAUGCACGAGGUCCUGGGUUCAAUCCCAGUACCUCCA